AUCAGCUAUACACGGUGGACAUCUCGGCGGAUGGAGGAACCUUUGCCACCGCGGGCAGGAACAGGGGCAUCAAGAUCUAUGACGUCCGGAAUAACCAGUUGAUCAACAUUCUGGAGCCAGCGGACUAUGUCACCAGUGGGAAGGAGCUGAGACCGAUCGACGGGCACACCCGGCGGAUAUACGCCCUCCGCUUCCACCCCCAGGAGCGGCACAUCUUUGUCUCGGGGGGCUGGGACGAUUCUAUCAAGGUCUGGGACAAGCGGAUGGCGACUGAAGCUCGAAAGGUGAUCAAC